CACAUGGACUGUUAGGAGGUACAAUUGGGAACUGAGAGAGUAGCUGAAGGUCACUAGGGCACACCUUGUACCAAGUCUUUUCCUGUGCCUUUCCUUGCUUCCUGGCUAUCAGCAGCUUGUCUCUACUACACACUUCCACCAUGAAAUUUCUGCUCCACCACAGAAGAAAAACCAAUGAAGCCAAACAACCAUGAACUGAAACCUGUAAAAACAUACACCAAAAUAAUCCUUACUCAGAGAAGUGGAUUGAUUGGGCAUUUUUAUCACCGUGACAGGAAGUUGACUAACAAAUCACGUCAAUAGAAAUGCUACUGAGGAAGCCUGCAGUAUAAAGAUUGAAUCAGAUGGUCUCUACGAAUGCAUACAUUGGUAAGGCUGCACCAUCUGAUGUGGAGAUCUUCCAGAGUUUUCCUUGGCUCUUGCUUGAUUUCACAAUUUGUUUACAUACUUUGUACAUAACAUUAGUCAGUGUUUUCCAGAGAAACAGAACCAAUUAAAUGUGUGUAUAUAUAUGCAUGUGUGUAUACAUAUAUCAUAAGGAAUUGGCUCACACCAUGGAGACUGAAUCCAGACCUGGAACGCCAAUGGUAUAUACUGCAGUCUAAUACAAGAGCAAAGGCAGGAAAGACAGACAGGCAGAAACAAUCUUCUUGCUCAACCUGUUAUUCUAUGGACGCCUUCAAGAGAUUGGUUUCUUGCAGCCUGGCAGAGAGCAACGCCCUGUUUGACAAGCAAACAAAUGGCCCAGAGCUGUCUGCGGGAUGCUGAUGAACCCAUAUUAAUGAAUCGUCUCAUCAGUGAAAGCUGCCCUCUGGGCAGAGCUGCCACAGGCUGGAGUCUUCAGAUUCAGUUGCCUUCUUUGUCAGGUCCUUGUCCAUCGACAAGGGCAUGGCACCUCAAUAGACAUCUGUGGAUGGUCAUCUUUCCCAAUGCUGUGAUAGCAGGAGUACUGAGGGACUUAGUUAGGUCCCUUUAUUCUUCUGCCACAGUAUCUGCCCCUUGCUCACUCCCUGUCAGAUAUUUCCACCUUUCACAUUCAUGGUCCAAGCCCUUCGGUGAAUGCUAAGCAAUUCUUAAAUGGGAAUAAAGAAUCAUUUACAGGGUUCAGAGUCUUAUGACCUGGGUCUUAUUUUUCCUAA